AUUGAACGCUGGCGGCAGGCCUAACACAUGCAAGUCGAACGGUAACAGGAAGAAGCUUGCUUCUUUGCUGACGAGUGGCGGACGGGUGAGUCAUGUCUGGGAAACUGCCUGAUGGAGGGGGAUAACUACUGGAAACGGUAGCUAAUACCGCAUAACGUCGCAAGACCAAAGAGGGGGACCUUCGGGCCUCUUGCCAUCGGAUGUGCCCAGAUGGGAUUAGCUGGUAGGUGGGGUAACGGCUCACCUAGGCGACGAUCCCUAGCUGGUCUGAGAGGAUGACCAGCCACACGGGAACUGAGACACGGUCCAGACUCCUACGGGAGGGAGCAGUGGGGAAUAUUGCACAAUGGGCGCAAGCCUGAUGCGGCCAUGCCGCGUGUAUGAAGAAGGCCUUCGGGUUGUAAAGUACUUUCAGCGGGGAGGAAGGGAGUAAAGUUAAUACCUUGGCUCAUUGACGUUACCCGCAGAAGAAGCACCGGCUAACUCCGUG
rnacentral:rRNA from 1 species